CUUUUGGGAUGGGUUUAGCGGCGGACGGGUGAGUAACACGUGAGCAACCUACCUUUCAGAGGGGGAUAACAGUUGGAAACGACUGCUAAUACCGCAUAACGUUGUAAAAGGGCAUCCAUUUACAACCAAAAGAGGAAAUCUGCUGAAAGAUGGGCUCGCGGCCGAUUAGAUAGUAGGCGGGGUAACGGCCCACCUAGUCAACGAUCGGUAGCCGGACUGAGAGGUUGAACGGCCACAUUGGGACUGAGACACGGCCCAGACUCCUACGGAAGGCAGCAG
rnacentral:rRNA from 1 species